rnacentral:rRNA from 1 species
GGCCAUUACUUACACUCAGAGACGAAAGCUAGGGAGCAAACGGGAUUAGAUACCCCGGUAGUCCUAGCUGUAAACGAUGGAUACUAGAUGUUGCGUACUUUAUAGUAUGCAGUGUCGUAGCUAACGCGUUAAGUAUCCCGCCUGGGAAGUAUGCGCGCAAGCGUGAAACUCAAAGGAAUUGACGGGGGCCCGCACAAGCGGUGGAGCAUGUGGUUUAAUUCGAUGCAACACGAAGAACCUUACCAGGACUUGACAUGAAGAGAAGUUUUUUGAAAGAAAAAUGUGCUACGGCCUUUUACACAGGUGGUGCAUGGCUGUUGUCAGCUCGUGUCGUGAGAUGUUGGGUUAAGUCCCGCAACGAGCGCAACCCUUGUUUCUAGUUGAAUCUCUAGAAAGACUGCCGAUUAUAAAUCGGAGGAAGGUGAGGAUGACGUCAAGUCAUCAUGCCCCUUACGUCCUGGGCUGCACACGUGCUACAAUGGAUGUGACAAAAAGUUGCCAGUUCGCGAGAACGAGCUAAUCUUCCAAACACAUCCC